AAUAUUGCACAAUGGGGGAAACCCUGAUGCAGCGACGCCGCGUGAGCGAAGAAGGCCUUCGUGUCGUAAAGCUCUGUCCUAAGGGAAGAAACGGACGGUACCUUAGGAGGAAGCCCUGGCUAACUACGUGCCAGCAGCCGCGGUAAUACGUAGGGGGCGAGCGUUAUCCGGAAUUACUGGGCGUAAAGGGUGCGUAGGCGGCCUUUUAAGUCAGAUGAGAAAGGCUACGGCUUAACCGUAGUUGACGUUUGAAACUAGAAGGCUUGAGUGCAGGAGGGGGGAGUGGAAUUCCUAGUGUAGCGGCGAAAUGCGUAGAUAUUAGGAGGAACACCAGUGGCGAAGGCGACUCUCUGGACUGCAACUGACGCUGAGGCACGAAAGCGUGGGGAGCAAAC
rnacentral:rRNA from 1 species